rnacentral:rRNA from 1 species
GAUGAACGCUAGCGGCAGGCUUAAUACAUGCAAGUCGAGGGGCAGCAUGAUUGUAGCAAUACAAUUGAUGGCGACCGGCAAACGGGUGCGGAACACGUACACAACCUUCCAACAAGUGGGGGAUAGCCCAGAGAAAUUUGGAUUAAUACCCCGUAACAUAGCGAUGUGGCAUCACAUUGCUAUUAUAGAUUUUUCGCUUGUUGAUGGGUGUGCGGCUGAUUAGAUAGUUGGCGGGGUAACGGCCCACCAAGUCUACGAUCAGUAGCUGAUGUGAGAGCAUGAUCAGCCACACGGACACUGAGACACGGGCCCGACUCCUACGGGAGGCAGCAGUAAGGAAUAUUGGACAAUGGACGCAAGUCUGAUCCAGCCAUGCCGCGUGAGGGAUUAAGGUCCUCUGGAUUGUAAACUUCUUUUAUAAGGGACGAAAAAAGGCUUUUCUAAGUCGUCUGACGGUACCUUAUGAAUAAGCACCGGCUAACUCCGUGCCAGCCGCCGCCGUAA